rnacentral:rRNA from 1 species
UACGGAGGGUGCAAGCGUUGUUCGGAAUUACUGGGCGUAAAGCGCGUGUAGGCGGUUUGGUAAGUCGGGUGUGAAAGCCCUGAGCUUAACUCAGGAAGUGCAUUCGAAACUGCCAUACUCGAGUAUGGGAGAGGAGAGUGGAAUUCCCAGUGUAGAGGUGAAAUUCGUAGAUAUUGGGAGGAACACCCGUGGCGAAGGCGACUCUCUGGACCAAUACUGACGCUGAGACGCGAAAGCGUGGGGAGCAAAC